UCGCCAGAAGAUCAGUUUCUGUUCGUACAUGUUUCUUGCCUUUUACCAGAAACAUCCGGGAACUGUCUUUGUCAAUGGCGUAUUUGGAAUUUUUGGAUCUCCUUUAAUGGGAUGU
rnacentral:snRNA from 1 species